GACGAACGCUGGCGGCGUGCCUAAUACAUGCAAGUAGAACGCUGAAGGCGGAGCUUGCUUCUCUGGAUGAGUUGCGAACGGGUGAGUAACGCGUAGGUAACCUGCCUGGUAGCGGGGGAUAACUAUUGGAAACGAUAGCUAAUACCGCAUAAGAGUAGAUGUCGCAUGACAUUUGCUUAAAAGUUGCAAUUGCAUCACUACCAGAUGGACCUGCGGUGUAUUAGCUAGUUGGUGAGGUAAAGGCUCACCAAGGCAAGGAUACAGAGCCGACCGGAGAGGGGGGGCGGCCACACUGGGAGUGAGACACGGCCCAGACGCCUACGGGAGGGAGCAGGAGUGAAACGUCGGCAAUGGACGGAAGUCUGACCGAGCAACGCCGCGGGAGUGAAGAAGGAUGUCGGAUCGGAAAGGUCUGUUGUAAGAGAAGAAAGAGUGUGAGAGUGGAAAGUUCACAGUGUGACGGUAUCUUACCAGAAAGCGACGGCUAACUACGUG
rnacentral:rRNA from 1 species